GAGGAUUUAUUUAAAUUAUUAUUUCUGCAGGUCAGCUUUCUAAAAUCAAACAGCUUUAAUCCCAGUUAAUUCAUGACUUAACAGAUAAUUUAAGAGCCAGGAGGGUUUGGAUAUAUUUUUUUCCUUUAAUGAAUGAAAUCAUAAUUUGAAAGCUGCUUUUUGUACUUACCUUAAUCUUUGUCUAAUAUUAAAACGUGUUUGAUGUUCUAAAACAUUUACGACUCAUGGAAAAAACAAAACUACGUAAAAUCCGCGAGCAGAAACACUUUUUUGCAGCAUAGAUAAUCCCAAAUCCCAUUCUUCUCUCCAAACUCAAAUUAGCACAGUGGGAUAUUUAGGUGAUUUUUAAGCAUAAAUAUAAAAGUUUGCAAUGAAUUUCAUGUAAUUCUUCAAAUUUGUGGAGCUUUAAAGAUGCAAGUUGUGAAAAACUUUGGAAGGAAAAAAAGAUUUUGAAAAUGCAAAAAUAAAUAAAGUCUGGAAAUAGAAACAUUUUUCCAUAUAUAUUCUGAUCUGGACGAUGCUCAAUUUAAAUGAUUCAUUUCUAAAAUGAUGUUAGAAUCGUGAGAAAAGAACAUUAUUACAAUUAAAUAACUAAACAAAUAAGUGUAAAUUAUAUACACUUAUAGAAGCAUAUAAGUGUAUACACUACUAAUAUUGAAAUUAUUUUCUAUAUUAAUAGAAAAUGUGAAUAAGUACACACACUUUUU